CACGCAGGCGGUUUUGCGCGUUUCGAGUGACAGCGGGUGGCUUAACUGCCCGAGUAUUCGAAAGACGGCAGGACUUGAGGGCCAGAGAGGGACACGGAAUUCCGGGUGGAGUGGUGAAAUGCGUAGAGAUCCGGAGGAACACCGAAGGCGAAGGCAGUGUCCUGGCUGGUGACUGACGCUGAGGUGCGAAAGCCAGGGGAGCGAACGGGAUUAGAUACCCCGGUAGUCCUGGCCGUAAACGAUGACCACCAGGUGUGGGAGGUAUCGACCCCUUCCGUGCCGGAGGAAACCCACUAAGUGGUCCGCCUGGGGAGUACGGUCGCAAGAUUAAA
rnacentral:rRNA from 1 species